rnacentral:rRNA from 1 species
UACGUAGGGUGCAAGCGUUGUCCGGAAUUAUUGGGCGUAAAGAGCUCGUAGGCGGUUUGUCGCGUCUGCUGUGAAAACUCGGGGCUUAACUCCGGGCCUGCAGUGGGUACGGGCAGACUAGAGUGCGGUAGGGGAGACUGGAAUUCCUGGUGUAGCGGUGAAAUGCGCAGAUAUCAGGAGGAACGCCGGUGGCGAAGGCGGGUCUCUGGGCCGUAACUGACGCUGAGGAGCGAAAGCGUGGGGAGCAAACAGG